rnacentral:lncRNA from 1 species
AAAAAAAAGAAAUGCUUACACCCAUACUUAAUCCAUGCCUAUUUUUAGAAUUAAUACAAUAGGGUGCUAAGUACCUAUAAAGGUCAGGCAACUUGUGAAUUUACAAGGAGCAAAGAGGUGAAAACUUAUUCAGAAGUUUUUUUCUGGUUCAAACUUACUAAAAGGAUUAGUCGACUCAGCUGUGUUUUUUCUGGGUCAAACUUACUAAAGGGAUUAGUCAACUCUGCUGUGAAUUCAGAAUGGGCUGUCCUUUGAAAAACGUCUACUGUGAUUGGUAGAUGGAAGAACUUAGGGGAGGUGACAUAGGAGAAAACCCCCUAUAUAAGAAAAAGGAAUCUCUUGAGAAGAGGAUUGUUUGAGAAGGGGCUCUUGAGAGACAGGCUCUAAGGAGGAUCUCUUGAGAACGAAUCUCUUGGAGGAAAUCUCUAAGGAGAUCUCUCAAGGGAGGCUGACUCUGGCUGGAACUCCCUCUGUGGAGACUCUGACCCUCUGAGUCCCUUGCUUGGACAAAUCUUAUGGUGAGUGAUUAAGGACUGACUGGUUUCUCUCUUAAGGCUUAGGCCUGGGUUGGCCAGGGCUGCCCUGGGCCGGCCUAUUCUUUUCUCAUUAAUUCCUUUGCUCUCUCCUCUCUUUCUUUAAUUCCUCAUUGUAUUGUUAAUUAAAUUCUCUAUAAAACCCAGUUGACUUGGGUAUAUUCAUAAUUGGGACUAUUUCCCUGGCGACCACCUUAUAUUUGAUUUAAAACCAAGACAUUGUAGUGAAACAUAUUUUCUGCGGUCACAAAUUUACUCACCCACUCUAAAAUCUACUAUAAUUUAUAUCUUCCACUAUUUUACUCACUACAGUUUACAACCUCAACCAUUUUAAUUAUUACAGUUUAUGGCAUCCACUCUUUUAAUUGCCACACUCUAACUCUUCAUGGUUAGAGUUUGGGUAAAUCCUUUGUGUUCUUCAGUGUCCUGCAGUCAUUUAAUGAAGGUUGUAUUACAUGAAUUCUGAAGGUUCAGCUCUAUGUCUUGUGACUUUUGCUGGUUUAGGGGUCAAUAGCACUCAAGGAUGUGACUGUGGACUUCACCCAGGAGGAGUGGGGCCUGUUGGACCAUUCUCAGAAAGAGCUGUGCCUGGAGGUCAUGCUGGAGAAUGUGCAGAAUCUACUCUCUGUGGGGCUUCCAGUUCCUAGAGAAAAUUUUAUCUCCUGUUUCCAGCAAGGGGAAGCAUCCUGGCUGCUAGAGCAAGAAGACCCAAGGAGCUCCUGUCCAGAGGCAGAGACUAAUUUUGAAGUGAAGAUGUCUACACAGUUGAACCUUUUUGUGGAAGGAUAUGACCCCCAACGAUUCAUAACUGAGGGUCCCUGUAACUUCUCUUUGAGAGAAAUCUGUGGCUCUAAUAUGAAGCUCAAGCCCAGGAAUUCCCAACUUGCCGGACAGCCCUAA